UACAGAGGUCCCAAGCGUUGUUCGGAUUCACUGGGCGUAAAGGGUGCGUAGGUGGCCAGGUAAGUUCGGUGUGAAAGACUCGGAGCUCAACGUCCGAAAUGUCAUUGAAUACUAUCUGGCUGGAGGGUCGGAGGGGAGACUGGAAUUCUCGGUGUAGCAGUGAAAUGCGUAGAUAUCGAGAGGAACACCAGUGGCGAAGGCGAGUCUCUGGACGACUC
rnacentral:rRNA from 1 species